CUCUGACGAUUCAGUAUUAUGGCUCCAAAUUCAAAAUUCAAAAUUAUGGCUCCAGAUAUAUAACAUAUCUUCUUCUUCAAUCAUUCGGUUCACAGUCUUUUAACCCAAUACUCCUUCUUCCCCAACCAAACCCAUUCCAAUCUCUCUCUACUCUCUCUCUUCGAUGAAGAAUACCAAGCUGAUUCCAGAUUCAAUAUGUACAGAGGAGAAUACGAAGCCUACAAAACCUUUCUCUUAAUUAUGUUCUUUGGAGAAGAAGAUCUGUGGCAAUCGAAUAAAAAGUUAAUUUGGCAGGGGCGAAGGCUAGGGUUUCCGAGAGAAAUCACCGGUGACUCAAAUACGUUUAUCUGCUUAUUAUUGUCUACAGUUAUGAUUCCGAGGUGGAAGACACACAGAAGCAGAUGCAAAGUUGAUAAUUGUUUGGAUAUAAGCUUGCCUUUUGCCAUCUUCAAGGCGUAGUGCACAUGAUCUAAAGCCUGAGGACGUAUGCAUGCCGGUAAUGGAUGGGCUUCAAGCUACUAGAGUAAUUCGUUCAUUUGAGAAAAGGGGUAAUUGGGAUGAAGCAAGAAAGGCUGGGCUCGAGCUGGAAGAUUCUCCUUCAUAUGAUCAAAUACUACUGAACGGACCCAGAAAAAGAAUUCCCACCAUUGAAAUGGCUGCAAAUGCAAUGUCGGAAAGUGCAGAUGAGUGCUUUGAGAAUGGUAUGGACUCAUUUGUAACAAAGCCUGUUACUCUUCAAGGUCUAAAACAAUGUCUUGAACAGUAUGUGUUGUGACCAUAUUAUUUGAUUAGUUUUCUUUUAUAGUUAUUUUUAUUGUAUUUCUGAUCGGAAUGUCACGCUCCGGUCAAAGAUAAUAUUUAUAUACCCUAAUUACCCUUAACAAAUAGCUAGUGGUAGUGAGGGGUCGAACCACGAAGAGUAUGUGGUUUGUGUAUGGAUUUGAUUGAAUUAUGAAGUUGUCACAAUUAUGAAGAUUGCUAAGAUAUAUUUUUGUGUUUUUGUUUGAUUGG